CAUACUCUAUUUGGAUUUCCUUAGUUUUGUUCUAAUGUCCUUUUUAUGUCCCAGGAUCCCAUCUAGGAAAUUACAUUACAUUUAGUUGUCCUGUCUCCUUAGGUUCCUGUUGGCUGUGACAGAUUGUUAGACUUUUUUUUUUUUUUUUUCAGUUGGAAUUUCACUCUUGUUGACCAGGCUGGAGUGCAAUGGUGCAAUCUCGGCUCACUGCAACCUCUGCCACCUGGGUUCAAGCGAUUCUCCUGCCUCAGCCUCACAAGUAGCUGGGAUUACAGGCGAGUACCACCAAACCUGGCUAGUUUUUGUAUUUUUAGUAGAGAUGGGAUUUCACCAUUUUUUCCUUCUUGUAACAUCUUUAUCUGGUUCUGUUAUUUGGGUAAUA
rnacentral:lncRNA from 1 species